rnacentral:rRNA from 1 species
AUGGUGGCCGCUCGCCGGAGCACCGCCGCCGUCCUGCUGCUCCUGCUGCUGCUCGCCGUCUCCGUCUCUUCCACGUCCCCGUCGCCACGUGGCCGGGAGCGGGACAGAUCGGCGCUUCUCCGGCUCAGGGACGCCGUCCCCUCCUCCGAGCUGCUCCGCCGGUGGUCGCCGGGCGCGGACCACUGCUCCUGGCCGGGGGUCGCCUGCGAUGCGAGGUACCGGGUCGUCGCCCUCCACGUGCCCUCCAGCUUCCCGCGCGGGAGCGGGAGCGGGAUCGCCGGCCAGCUGCCCACGUCGGUGGGGCUCCUCACCGAGCUCAAGCAGCUCUCCCUGCCCUCCCUCGGCCUUUUCGGCGAGAUCCCCGCGGAGAUCUGGCGGCUGGAGAAGCUUGAGGGGGUCAACCUCGCCGGGAACUCGCUCCGGGGCGCUCUCCCGGGCGCCUUCCCGCCGCGGCUGAGGGUGCUCAACCUCUCCUCCAACGCGCUCAGCGGCGAGAUCCCUGCCUCCCUCUGCAGCUGCACGGAGUUGAAGUUCUUGGAUCUUUCUGGCAACCGGCUCAACGGGUCCGUGCCAGCGGUCGUCGGCGGCCUCCCCAGGUUGAGGCAGCUCGACCUGUCCCGGAACCUUCUUGCGGGGAGCAUCCCCUCUGCUCUGGGGAGCUGCACACAGCUCCGCUCGUUGCGCCUCUUCUCCAAUAUGUUGGACGGUUCCAUCCCACCAGAGCUUGGACGACUGAGCAAGCUGCGGGUUUUGGACGUAUCGGGUAACAGAUUGAGCGGUCUGGUGCCCAGGGAGCUAGGGAAUUGCUCGGGUUUGUCCGUUCUCGUGUUGUCGAGCCAGUUUGAUGCAGUGAAACCACAUGAGUUCAAUCUCUUUGAGGGAGAGCUUCCGGAGAGUGUGACAGCUUUGCCAAAGCUUAGGUUGUUAUGGGCGCCGAAGGCAGGCCUGCAAGGAAAUCUCCCAAGCAAUUGGGGAAUCUGCCAUAGUUUGGAGAUGGUUAAUCUCGGAGGUAAUUUACUUGCUGGAGUGAUACCGAGGGAGCUAGGGCAGUGUAGAAACCUCAAGUUUCUCAACCUCAGUUCCAAUAGAUUGUCCGGUUCGCUUGAUAAAAAUCUUCAUCUGCAUUGUAUGGAUGUGUUUGAUGUCAGUGGCAACAAACUCUCAGGCUCAAUUCCAGCGUCUGUGAACAAAGAGUGUGCAUCGCAGCAACCGCUGGAUGGCGUGACAUCUGGCUAUUCUUCACCCUUCAUGUCCCGAGCUGUAGCAGAGCUAUCACUGGGUUACUGUGAAUCAGGAGAGUGUUCGGUUGUAUACCAUAAUUUUGCGAAGAACAAGUUUGGAGGCCGUCUUACAUCCUUGCCACUUAGUGCAGACAGAUAUGGAAACAGGACCUUGUAUGCAUUAAUUCUUGAUCACAAUAACUUCACUGGAUCAUUGGCUGCAAUUCUGUUGGAACAGUGCAGCAACUUAAAUGGUUUGAUCGUCAGCUUCCGAGACAACAAGAUAUCUGGUGAGCUCACAGAAGAAAUCAGCUCAAAAUGUCAUGCCAUCAGAGUUUUGGUUCUAGCCGAGAAUCAAAUUUCAGGAGUGUUGCCUGCUAACAUUGGUCUGUUGGGUGCUCUUGUAAAGAUGGACAUUAGCAAAAACUUUUUGGUGGGUCAAAUACCUGCCAGUUUGAAAGAGCUCAAGAGCUUGAAAUUUCUCUCGUUAGCCGCAAACAAUAUCAGUGGUCAGAUACCGUCCUCUUUGGGGCAAUUGGAAUCGCUGGAGGUUUUAGAUCUCUCAUCUAAUUCUCUGUCUGGGAAUGUCCCUAGUAAUGUUGUGACACUGAGAGGUCUCACGACACUUCUGCUGAACAAUAAUGAGCUCUCUGGAAACAUUGCCGAUCUUACCCCUUCAGUAUCAAUGGCUGUUUUUAACAUUUCAUUCAAUAACUUGGCUGGGCCGUUGCAUUCGAAUGUGCGAGCACUCAGUGAGAAUGAGGCUAGUCCAGAACCUGAGAAUACACCCAGCGAUGGCGGAGGCUUCACCAAAAUAGAGAUUGCCUCAAUAACCUCAGCAUCAGCGAUUGUUGCAGUUCUCUUGGCCCUGAUCAUCCUUUACAUUUACACUCGUAAAUGUGCAUCAAGACCAUCAAGGCGUUCUAACAGGAGAAGGGAAGUGACUGUUUUUGUGGAUAUUGGUGCUCCUUUGACAUAUGAGACCGUUGUACGCGCUGCUGGCAGUUUUAAUGCAAGCAAUUGCAUUGGAAGUGGUGGCUUUGGAGCAACAUACAAAGCUGAGAUUGCACCAGGCAUUCUGGUGGCAAUAAAGAGGCUCGCUAUUGGAAGGUUCCAAGGUAUUCAGCAGUUCCAAGCAGAGGUGAAAACUCUUGGAAGGUGUCGGCAUGACAAUCUUGUAACACUCAUAGGGUACCACCUCAGUGAUUCAGAGAUGUUUCUAAUAUACAAUUUUCUGCCCGGCGGUAACUUGGAAAGGUUCAUACAAGAAAGGGCAAAGAGACCAAUUGAUUGGAGAAUGCUUCACAAAAUUGCUCUAGAUGUUGCACGUGCACUUGCAUACCUUCAUGAUAACUGUGUCCCACGUAUUCUGCACCGGGAUGUGAAGCCAAGCAACAUCUUGCUUGACAAUGAGUACACCGCAUACCUUUCUGAUUUUGGAUUAGCAAGACUACUUGGGAAUUCAGAAACUCAUGCAACCACCGGUGUCGCGGGUACUUUUGGAUAUGUUGCUCCAGAGUAUGCGAUGACUUGCCGUGUUUCUGAUAAGGCUGAUGUGUACAGCUAUGGAGUUGUACUGCUUGAACUUAUUUCAGACAAGAAAGCACUGGACCCUUCCUUUUCUCCGUAUGGAAAUGGAUUCAACAUAGUUGCUUGGGCUUGCAUGCUUCUGCAGAAGGGCCGAGCUCGUGAGUUCUUCAUAGAAGGGCUGUGGGAUGUGGCUCCGCAUGAUGACUUGGUUGAGAUUCUGCACCUCGGUAUCAAGUGCACUGUGGACUCUCUUUCUUCUAGGCCCACAAUGAAGCAAGUUGUUCGGCGACUAAAGGAACUCAGGCCGCCCUCUUACUAG